rnacentral:miRNA from 1 species
GUUCUAUGCAAGCACUUCACGA